rnacentral:lncRNA from 1 species
GAUAAAAUCAGCUGUCAGAGACCAGUCAGAGACAAAGAACAGGAUCAAGGGACACAGAUUGGAGCAGAGCUUCUCCAUAGGAACUUCUGCUGGGAUUUUCUACCGAAAAGACACGACUGGCUGGAACUCUCUAUGAGAAGACACAGUCAAUUUUAGACAACACUAGACGCAUACUGCACCAAGGACACGGGAAACCCUCCUCCCCCUCCGUGAAGGAGCGGUCAGCUCUCUAUCUGUCUGAGACAGCUGCUCACACAGGCAACCUCCAAAAGUCUAAUACCACAAAGGAGAGCGCUACUCAUCCUCUUGACAACCAGAAAGCAAGCAAGGUAGGACAUGCUAAAAACACGUGUGGUUGUCUAACAAAGUCUUUGUGGACUGGUGUAUAGUGCGAUUUAACUACCUGUGCUUGACAAUGAGGCACACUCUCAUGCAGAAUGUGGAGGUCUGACACCUCAACUACUCAGCCAUAUUUAGAACUUGUUUAUGAGGUUCAAAAUCACCUUACAUAAAAAGGCUCCA